CACGUAGGGGGCAAGCGUUGUCCGGAAUCAUUGGGCGUAAAGAGCUCGUAGGCGGCUCAGUAAGUCGGGUGUGAAACCCCCAGGCUCAACCUGGGGACGCCACCCGAUACUGCUGUGGCUAGAGUCCAGUAGGGGAGUGUGGAAUUCCCGGUGUAGCGGUGAAAUGCGCAGAUAUCGGGAGGAACACCAGCGGCGAAGGCGGCACUCUGGGCUGGUACUGACGCUGAGGAGCGAAAGCGUGGGUAGCAAACAGG
rnacentral:rRNA from 1 species